rnacentral:rRNA from 1 species
AGCGAACGCUGGCGGCAGGCUAACACAUGCAAGUCGAGCGGGCGUAGCAAUACGUCAGCGGCAGACGGGUGAGUAACGCGUGGGAACGUACCUUUUGGUUCGGAACAACACAGGGAAACUUGUGCUAAUACCGGAUAAGCCCUUACGGGGAAAGAUUUAUCGCCGAAAGAUCGGCCCGCGUCUGAUUAGCUUGUUGGUGAGGUAACGGCUCACCAAGGCGACGAUCAGUAGCUGGCUGAGAGGAUGAUCAGCCACAUUGGGACUGAGACACGGCCCAAACUCCUACGGGAGGCAGCAGUGGGGAAUAUUGGACAAUGGGCGCAAGCCUGAUCCAGCCAUGCCGCGUGAGUGAUGAAGGCUCUAGGGUUGUAAAGCUCUUUUGU